rnacentral:rRNA from 1 species
AUGUGUGCUGCAUAGAAGGAAGGAGGCAUGGGCUUUAGGGAUGCUGAGGCGUUCAAUCAGGCGUUAUUGGCCAAGCAGGCAUGGAGGAUCUUGCGGGUUCCUUCCUCCCCUUGUGUGCGUGUCUUGAAGGCCAGAUACUUCACAGAUGGCGACAUUAUGAAUGCAACAUGCCCUGACGGUGGAUCAUACACGUUCAGAAGUAUUCUUCAUGGC